AGGAGCUUGCUCCUUUGACGUUAGCGGCGGACGGGUGAGUAACACGUGGGUAACCUACCUAUAAGACUGGGAUAACUUCGGGAAACCGGAGCUAAUACCGGAUAAUAUUUCGAACCGCAUGGUUCGAUAGUGAAAGAUGGUUUUGCUAUCACUUAUAGAUGGACCCGCGCCGUAUUAGCUAGUUGGUAAGGUAACGGCUUACCAAGGCGACGAUACGUAGCCGACCUGAGAGGGUGAUCGGCCACACUGGAACUGAGACACGGUCCAGACUCCUACGGGAGGCAGCAGUAGGGAAUCUUCCGCAAUGGGCGAAAGCCUGACGGAGCAACGCCGCGUGAGUGAUGAAGGUCUUCGGAUCGUAAAACUCUGUUAUUAGGGAAGAACAUACGUGUAAGUAACUAUGCACGUCUUGACGGUACCUAAUCAGAAAGCCACGGCUAACUACGUGCCAGCAGCCGCGGUAAUACGUAGGUGGCAAGCGUUAUCCGGAAUUAUUGGGCGUAAAGCGCGCGUAGGCGGUUUUUUAAGUCUGAUGUGAAAGCCCACGGCUCAACCGUGGAGGGUCAUUGGAAACUGGAAAACUUGAGUGCAGAAGAGGAAAGUGGAAUUCCAUGUGUAGCGGUGAAAUGCGCAGAGAUAUGGAGGAACACCAGUGGCGAAGGCGACUUUCUGGUCUGUAACUGACGCUGAUGUGCGAAAGCGUGGGGAUCAAACAGGAUUAGAUACCCUGGUAGUCCACGCCGUAAACGAUGAGUGCUAAGUGUUAGGGGGUUUCCGCCCCUUAGUGCUGCAGCUAACGCAUUAAGCACUCCGCCUGGGGGAGUACGACCGCAAGGUUGAAACUCAAAGGAAUUGACGGGGACCCGCACAAGCGGUGGAGCAUGUGGGUUUAAUUCGAAGCAACGCGAAGAACCUUACCAAAUCUUGACAUCCUUUGACAACUCUAGAGAUAGAGCCUUCCCCUUCGGGGGACAAAGUGACAGGUGGUGCAUGGUUGUCGUCAGCUCGUGUCGUGAGAUGUUGGGUUAAGUCCCGCAACGAGCGCAACCCUUAAGCUUAGUUGCCAUCAUUAAGUUGGGCACUCUAAGUUGACUGCCGGUGACAAACCGGAGGAAGGUGGGGAUGACGUCAAAUCAUCAUGCCCCUUAUGAUUUGGGCUACACACGUGCUACAAUGGACAAUACAAAGGGCAGCGAAACCGCGAGGUCAAGCAAAUCCCAUAAAGUUGUUCUCAGUUCGGAUUGUAGUCUGCAACUCGACUACAUGAAGCUGGAAUCGCUAGUAAUCGUAGAUCAGCAUGCUACGGUGAAUACGUUCCCGGGUCUUGUACACACCGCCCGUCACACCACGAGAGUUUGUAACACCCGAAGCCGGUGGAGUAACC
rnacentral:rRNA from 1 species